UGGCUGUGGCCCAGUGGUAGGGCGCUCGCCUAGCAAGAGUGAGGCCCUGGUUGGAUUCCUGGCACGGCAG
rnacentral:tRNA from 1 species